GGCUGCAGUGGGGAAUAUUGCACAAUGGGGGAAACCCUGAUGCAGCGACGCCGCGUGAGUGAAGAAGUAUUUCGGUAUGUAAAGCUCUAUCAGCAGGAACGAGACAAGACGGUACCUGACUAAGAAGCCCCGGCUAACUACGUGCCAGCAGCCGCGGUAAUACGUAGGGGGCAAGCGUUAUCCGGAAUCACUGGGUGUAAAGGGAGCGUAGACGGCUGAGCAAGCCUGAAGUGAAAGGCGGGGGCCCAACCCCUGGACUGCUUUGGGAACUGUACGGCUGGAGUGCAGGAGAGGUAAGUGGAAUUCCUAGUGUAGCGGUGAAAUGCGUAGAUAUUAGGAGGAACACCAGUGGCGAAGGCGGCUUACUGGACUGUAACUGACGUUGAGGCUCGAAAGCGUGGGGAGCAAACAGGAUUAGAUACCC
rnacentral:rRNA from 1 species